GGGCCCGCACAAGCGGUGGAGUAUGUGGUUUAAUUCGAAGAUACGCGCAGAACCUUACCAACACUUGACAUGUUCGUCGCGACUCUAAGAGAUUAGAGUUUUCGGUUCGGCCGGACGAAACACAGGUGCUGCAUGGCUGUCGUCAGCUCGUGUCGUGAGAUGUUGGGUUAAGUCCCGCAACGAGCGCAACCCUCACUUUUAGUUGCCAUCAUUUAGUUGGGCACUCUGAAAGAACUGCCGGUGAUAAGCUGGAGGAAGGUGGGGAUGACGUCAAGUCCUCAUGGCCCUUACGUGUUGGGCUACACACGUGCUACAAUGGCAUCUACAAUAGGAAGCAAGAUGGCGACAUCAAGCAAAUCCUAAAAAGAUGCCUCAGUUCGGAUUGCACUCUGCAACUCGAGUGCAUGAAGCUGGAAUUACUAG
rnacentral:rRNA from 1 species